ACUCCUACGGGAGGCAGCAGUGGGGAAUAUUGCACAAUGGGCGCAAGCCUGAUGCAGCAACGCCGUGUGAGUGAAGAAGGUUUUCGGAUCGUAAAACUCUGUCCUAAGGGAAGAAACAAAUGACGGUACCUUAGGAGGAAGCCCCGGCUAACUACGUGCCAGCAGCCGCGGUAAUACGUAGGGGGCAAGCGUUAUCCGGAAUCACUGGGCGUAAAGGGUGCGUAGGCGGCUUAGCAAGCCAGGGGUGAAAGGCAUUGGCUCAACCAAUGUAAGCCUUUGGAACUGUUAAGCUUGAGUGCAGGAGAGGUAAGUGGAAUUCCUAGUGUAGAGGUGAAAUUCGUAGAUAUUAGGAGGAACACCAGUGGCGAAGGCGACUUACUGGACUGUAACUGACGCUGAUGCACGAAAGCGUGGGUAGCGAACAGGAUUAGAUACCCUUGUAGCACAGAG
rnacentral:rRNA from 1 species